rnacentral:antisense_RNA from 1 species
GGUCGUUUCUCUUCGGGCCCAACACGAGCCCAAAAGCUUCCCAUCUUCUCCCAGAAGAUUAGCGGCGGGGGAGGCGGCGGCGACCGGCGGCGACAGGGUGGCCGGAUUUGCGGUCCCGUCUCCCUCUCCUGGGCUUCCGCCACCACCCGCGGGCGCUUCUCCUCCACCGGGAAGCCUGCCGUCGCGCGACGGCGACUCCCUUCGACUGUUCGACGCAAUGCCAGGGCAGGCCUGGUGGAGCGGAGGCGGAGCCGCUUCUUCGCUGCUUGAGGCGAGGCGUUCAGGGUGUUCGGCGAAAUGCUCGAGAGUCGCUUGUCCAGUCCUGGUCGGUGGCGACUUCGGCCGUCGAAGAUCUCGUGGGCGGCGACUGUGCUUCCGCUUCGUGAGCUUCUGAAGGACGCAUACCUUUUGAUACUACAUGCAAAGCAUCAUUCCGAGAGGUGCAUAUAAUUUAGAGCAAUCAUCGGCAUCGUGGUCAUGGUGUGUACAUGCUCUGGAAAACAACAUAGCACGACUGGUGGGUGAUUGGGCUGCCAGUGGGAGCUGGCUUAUCAUUUGGGACACCACAGGGGAGACUGGUUCUUGUGUAGACAUGGUCUAUGGACUAUGGAACGGACUGAAGCCACACAGAUCUUCAGGUGCAGCACAAACUGGAGAAAUCCUUCGGCCAGAACAGAAACAGCAUAGGGAACACAAGAUGAUUACAGAAGAUCGGCUGCACAAAGACCAAUUCUAGAAACAGCAUAGAGGCCAUUUCCAGUUCAGACGACUGUAGUGCUGUACUGCUGUGCUGCACGUCGUACACGUCGAAGUCUGAAGAGGAUUGCUGCACUGCAGAUCAAUCAAUGAUUUUCCAAUUUUCGUCAAAACAAGAAACCAAUGAUUUUCCAGGCUCAUGGACACGGUCUACCCAGGCACCCAUCCGUAGACGUGCAAAAUUAUGAAAAACUGAUGGCGAUCUGGCGAUGAAUGAAUGAAUGAUUCGGACCGCCGCUACGUUGUUGCUGCCGACGCGUUCGUUGGCCGUGUGUCCGUGUCUCGGUCUGCAGUCUUCAGUGUCUCAGUCCGAUCGGAAUGAAAUGGAAUGGAGGAGAUGGCGGUGUGAACUGUCCUUGGUAGUGGAGUUGUGGAUUGGCUCGUAUACGACAAAUGUAUUUGGAUAUUUGGCACUUGUUAUCGCUGGAAAAAAUAUAGUCAAGUCGUGUACGAGGAAAACUGCAUGCUACUACCAUACAUACGAAGGAUAUCAAGUUCUUGACAUUUUGAUAUGGAGCAUAGCAAAACUGUUCUAGUUCUCGUUUGAAAUGCGAGAAUGUGUUCACAAAAGGCUGAUUCAUUUUAUUUAAAAUUCACGCAAUAUUCCUCUGUUCGAAGGAAAGGUCUUGUUGUGUUUUUCUUUUUCUUUUUUUUUCUUUUCUAGUGCAGGCUGAUCUGCUGUGCUGAGUGCAGACCGUGGCAGAAGUGAUUUACUUUUCCUUGUAUAAGGGGGUGUUUAAAUCCGGGGUGUAAAGUUUUAGCGUGUCACAUCGAAUAUUAUAUAAGGUAUCGCAUGUGGCAGAGUUUACAUUACCGGUUGACCACUAAAUUUCGAACCCCAUCGGUAUCACCGUUUUCGAUAAAUUUUGAUCGGUUUUUGAU